UUGUCCGGUUAACUAGUGCCGCAGUUUUCGAAAUAUCGACUUCGUCCAAAAGAGAAAACGUGCGUCCUUAUCGGGAAUGGUGGGCUUGUAUACAGCUUUCCGAUCGGACUUACGUUUUUCGUAAAAACUUCGUAAGUACCCGUUUUUUUGCCCAUUGAAAAUGAAUGGGCAGAACUUUGCACGCCUGUGGACGUCGCAAUUUUUGAAAUACGAAGAUGAAACCAAUUGAGGACCUGUAGAACUUAUUGAGCUCUUUCCGAAAAUAUGCGUUACGAAAAGUUACGACGUACGGAUUUCGUACGAUUGUCGUACGAAGUGGCCCCAUUGUAAUGAAUGGGGCCAAUCGGAGGACGGCAGCUAGAUCGAAGGACAGGUAGCUAGAACUCCAGUACUGUGUGUAAUGGAGCAGCUAUGGGAUAAAACAGCAUUAGGUCAAAAGUUUGGACACCCCGGCCCCCCAGUACUGUGUGUAAUGGAGCCACGGCUCAAAAGUUUGGACACCCCGGCCCCCCCAGUACUGUGUGUAAUGGAGCCACGGGUCAAAAGUUUGGACACCCCGGCCCCCCAGUACUGUGUGUAAUGGAGCCACGGGUCAAAAGUUUGGACACCCCAGCCCCCCAGUACUGUGUGUAAUGGAGCCACGGGUCAAAAGUUUGGACACCCCAGAGCCCCAGUACUGUGUGUAAUGGAGCCACGGGUCAAAAGUUUGGACACCCCAGAGCCCCAGUACUGUGUGUAAUGGAGCCACGGGUCAAAAGUUUGGACACCCCGGCCCCCGAGUACUGUGUGUAAUGGAGCCACGGGUCAAAAGUUUGGACACCCCCGAACGGCCAAAGCAACCUAGCGUGCAUAGCUGAUUGAUGUAUUUGCACGUUGCGUAGCAACGUGCAAACACCAUUUA